CUCACGCCUGUCAUCCCAGCACUUUGGGAGGCUGAGGUGGGUGGAUCACCUGAGGUCAGGAGUUCGAUACCUGCCAGGAGUUCGAGACCAGCCUGACCACCAUGGUGAAACCCCAUCUUGGCCGGGUGCAGUGGCUCACGCCUGUAAUCCCAGCACUUUGGGAGGCUGAGGUGGGCGGAUCACCUGAGAUCGGGAGUUCAAGACCAGCCUGACCAACAUGGAGAAACCCCGUCUCUACUAAAAAUACAAAAAUUAGCUGGGCAUGGUGGUGCAUGCCGGUAAUCCCAGCUACUUGGGAGGCUGAAGCAGGUGAAUCCCUUGAACCUGGGAGGAGGAGGUUGCAGUGAGCCGAGAUCAUGCCAUUCCACUCCAGCCUGGGCAACAAGAGCGAAACUCUGUCUCAAAAAAAAAAAAAACCCAUCUCUACUAAAAUACAAAAAAAUUAGCCAGGUAUGGUGGCACAUGCCUGUAAUCCCAGCUACUCAAGAGGCUGAGAUAGGAGAAUCACUUGAACCCAGGAGGCGGAGAUUGCAGUGAGGCGAGAUCAAGCCAUUGCCAUUGCACUCCAGCCUGGUUCACAAGAGUGAAAACUCGGGCUCGAAACAAAAACAAAAACAAAAACAAAAACAAAAACAAAAACAAACAAACAAAAAAACUACACAGGUUGAGCAUCCCAAAUCAAAAAAUCGCAAAUCUGAAGUGUUCCAAAACCCAAAACUUUUAGAAUCAACAUGAUGCUCAAAGGAAAUGCUCAUCAGAGCAUUGUGGAUUUCAGAUUUUUCAGAUUAGCGUUGUUCAACCAGUAAGGAUAAUGCAAAUA
rnacentral:lncRNA from 1 species